CCUGGUUGGAUUUCAGAACUAGGUCAUCUUCAAUAUCUGAAUCUUUCACGCAAUCUCCUGGUUGAUCUAGAAAGACCUUUGUCUCUUCCUGGUCUUAGCAUCUUAGACCUGCAUCAUAACCAGCUCCGAGGGAGCAUUCCAGUUCCCCCAUCAUUUAUUACCUAUGUGGAUUACUCAAGCAAUAAUUUUUCUUCCUUCAUCCCCCCUAACAUUGCUAAUUACUUCAACUUUACCUUUUUCUUCUCCCUUUCAAAUAAUCGCCUUACCGGAGCAAUACCGCGAUCGAUAUGCAGUACCGAAUGGCUACAAGUUCUUGACUUGUCCAACAACAGUUUGAGUGGAGCAAUACCAUCCUGUUUAAUUGAGAGGAUUAAGACUCUUCGUGUUCUAAAUUUAAGGAGAAACAACUUAAAUGGCAUUAUUCCUGAUAAAUUUCCAAGAAGCUGUGAAUUGAAGACUCUGGAUCUGAGUGGAAACAACUUGCAAGGGCAGGUUCCAAAAUCUCUGGCCAAUUGCAUUAUGUUAGAGGUCUUAGACCUUGGGAACAAUCAAAUCAAUGACAGCUUCCCGUGUCUUCUUAAGAGCAUAUCGAGUUUUCGUGUCCUUGUUCUGCGAAACAACACGUUCUCCGGGCAUAUUGGAUGUCAAGACAUCAAAGGCACUUGGCCAAGGCUUCAGAUUGUCGACCUUGCUUUCAACCAUUUCAGAGGAAAUCUACCUGAUAUUUUCUUGAAAACGUGGGAAGGAAUGAUGGAAGGUGGAAACAGAAACCUUGAGUACAUAAGAUAUGAUCCUAUGGAGCAGACGAAUGGACUGUAUUAUCAAGAUUCAAUUACGGUCACAGUAAAGGGUCUCGAGGUGGAGCUGGUGAAGAUAUUAACUGUCUUUACCUCUGCUGACUUUUCAAGCAACAACUUUGAAGGGCCAAUACCAGAUGUCAUAGGACAGUUCAAUGCCCUCUAUGCUCUCAACUUGUCACAUAAUGUACUCACAGGCCAAAUUCCAUCAUCUUUAGGCAGCCUGUCACAGCUCGAGUCCUUAGACCUCUCAUCUAACCAAUUGUCUGGACAAAUCCCACCACAGCUAGUAAGCCUGGCACUCCUUUCUGUCCUGAAUCUCUCAUAUAACAGGCUAGAGGGUCGGAUCCCAACAGCCAAUCAAUUCGGGACGUUCUCGUCCGAUUCCUUUGAAGGUAACCAAGGAUUAUGCGGGCCUCCAUUAAAUCGAUGCUCCAAUACCAAAGGAUCAAAUUCUACACCAGCAUGCUCCAAUACAUCAAGUUCAGCAUGCUACAAUACCAAUGGAUCAAAUUCUGGUAUAGAGAUUGACUGGAAUUUCUUAUUGGGAUUUAUCUUCGGGCUGGGAAUUGCUAUUCUACCUCUUAUGUUCUGCAAGAGAUGGAGAACAUGGUACUACACACAUGUUAAUCGUGUAAUUUUCAGAAUCUUCCCUCAACUAGAUAAAAGAAGCAAGAAUCUUGGCAGAAGAGCUCAAAGAAACAGAAGAAGGCAGUAACAUUGGUGAAGAAGAUCAAUGCGCGUGGUGAGAGCAUUUGCAAUUAAUAUUUCCUAUGGCUUCUAUUUUAUAUCCUGCUAUAUAUUUUGUUUUGUUUCCCGUUUGUUGACAUUCGCAAUAAGAAGUUUAGUUACAACUUCAGUUUUUAUUCUCUUUGUCCACCAAUUGUAGGUCAUCAAUUAUUCGUCCAAGGGACCUCGCAGUUAUUGGAUAAAUGCGACAGUUUCUUUUGUUUGCUUCGUUUUUGUGACUCUGUAAUAAUAUGCUGUAGCCUGGGCCUGCUUUGAAAUACAAAAUCCUAUGGUUAUGGACAUUGUAAUUUGGUAGUUUUUAAUAUUUUGCAUUGUGAUCUACAUGCAAAUGUUUUUUUAAUCUUAAACAAAUCGAUUUCCUUCCACAGAAACAGCAAUAAAAAUACUCUUUAUUUCAAGAAUAUAAUUUAUUUUAAUUUACAUAUGGCAAAAUUUCUCAAGAAUAAAUUAUACUUGCAUGCUUUAUCAUAUAAAAAAAAUCACAAAAAAUAGUUUAUUUAUUUUACAUGUAGAUUUAAUAACUUUUCUCUGUUUUUUUUUUAAAAGUAGGAUCAUGUUCGGUUAGGAGGUACGUGAAUUUAUUUAAAGGACUAUUAUAGAGUUGAAGAAGGAAAAAAAGGCUUGUUGACUGGUGCUUCUGUGAAGACAGUGCAAGAAGACCCAUCAUAACUAAAGUCUCCCUGUUUCUUAAAUUUUAUGAUCAAUGAUUUUGGUUCAAGAGCACAAAAUUUCUACAGAUUUAAAGCCUAUCAUCGACUAGUCUUUCACAAAUUUUCACCUCCGGAUUGAGCCUUCUAGUCUCUCUACUGUCUAAUAUUCGUGCUCUCUUCAUCCAUUCUGGCUUCCAUCCUUUUAGUUUCAAACUAGUUGACAGGCACAUCCUUUGCUAUGGGUAGAAUUAAUUUUUUUAAAAAAAAUAUAAUAAAAAAUAUUUAGAUCAUGAGAAUUAUAUGAUAUUACCACUAAAUAUGAUUUAAUGGAUCAAUUUUAAAAUCUCUUAGCUCGACUUUUUAUCUAGAUUUUUUUAAAAUUAAAUCAAGUGAAAGUGCUUUAAUGUGACCCAAUCAACUUUAUUAGUUUAAAGACAACUUGAAUGAAUGGUAAGAUAUAUAAAAGGAUGAAAUUGAAAAAAAAAUUGAUAUUAAAAAAUCUCUCAACCCAACACUUUGCCGAUGUUAGGUCAUGUUUGUUUUCCGGAAACUAGUUUUUGGGAAACUAUUUUUUAAGUUUUUUUGUGUUUGUUUGUCAUUAGGAAAAUUGGUCAAUGAAAAACACUUUCCGGUCAACGAAAAAUAUUUUCCAGUCAAAGAAAAAUUUGGCUUGGUUUUCAGGAAAGUGUUUUUCCUUUAGUUGUGUUUAUUUUCAGGAAAGUGGUUUCUAGGAAAUCACUUUCUAAAUUUUCUUGUGUUUGUUUGUCAUUAGAAAUGUUGGUCAAUGGAAAACACUUUCCAGUAAAAGGAAAAUUUAACUUGGUUUUCAGGAAAGUGUUUUCCUGAAAAAUUUGGGGGGAAAACACUUUCUGGAAGUUGUGAAAAAUUUAGAAAUGUCAUUAUUUGCUGAUUAUAUCAAAUUUGAUCCUCAAACUUUUGAUUGCUAUAAAUAUGUUGUUUUGAAUAUUUAUUUUUCAAUUUCAUCUCUUAAAAUUUUAUUUUUAUAUUAACUUUGAUCUUUAUUUUUAUAAUUGCUAUUUGCUUUUUCCUUAUCAUUUUUUUAUUGAAAUUUUUUAUCUAUCAAAUUUGGUCCUCAUUCUUUUGAUUGUUACUUAUUUUAUUUGAAAUAAUUUAUGAAAUGUUGAUUAUUAUUAUUUUAAUUUCUUCAUCUUUCAUUUUUUUUUUAUUUUUUUAGAUUUGAUCUCUAUUAUUUUGAUUAUUAUUUAUUUUAUUUGAGAUAAUUUAUGAAAUUAUAUUUUUUUUCAAUUUCAUUCUCAUUCAACUUUUUAAUUUGUAAGAUUUGUUCCUCAUUAUUUUAAUAAACUUGAGAAAAAUAAAAUAUUAAUAAGUUAUUUUCCAGCUCAUUUUCCAUGACAUAACCAAACAAUGGAAAAUGUUUUCCAACUUAUUUUUCAUUACAUUACCAAACAUCGAAAAAUACUUUCUCAGAAUUCACUUUCCAAAAGGAAACUACUUUCCAGCAAACAAACGGGGCCUUAGUUUAAAAUUAAAUUGUAUGGAAGUUAUCCCAACGUGAUCUAAUCGACUUGGUCAAUUCAAACGUAACUUUGCUAACCAGUAAAAAAAAAUGAGGAUGAGAUUGAAAAAAAAGAAGAUGAAAUUAACAUAAAAAAACUCUAGAUUAAAUUUUUUGUUUAGUCCGAAUUUAAAAUUAAAUCAUGUGGAAUGUGAUAUGAUCUAGUUGACUUGGAUAUUUUAAAAGCAACUCAAAAGGCUGUUAAAAAAGCUUGAGGAUAAAAUUGAAACUGAAAAAAGGAAGGGGAGGAAUGAAAAGAAAACGAAAAAAAGAGAGGGGUGAAUUGAAAAAAAAGAGAAGAAAAAAUGGAAACUUUUUGUUUAUGGACCUUCACUCUAUAUAUAUAUACUAGCUUUGAUACCCGCGCGAUGCCGCGGGUAAUUUUUUUUUGUAUAAAAAAUAUUUUAAAAAAUAAAAAUUAAAAAAUCUUGGGUUUUUCUGCAAAGUUAUACCCAAUAAUCUUGGGUUUGGCUGCAACGCCUGACCUAAGAGUAAUAUUUAUAAUAUUAUUAAUAAAAUUAAACUUGCAUGACCCAAGUUUAAGUGAGCUUGACUGGAACACCAGACUCAAGAAUAUUGGAUGUGGGUCUGGCUAUAAGGUCGUGUCAUCAAAGUGUGAUAAUUAAAUAGAUUAAUUAAAAAAAUAAAGAAAAAAAUCAACAGAAAGGAAAAAACCUCAUGAAGAAAAAGAAAAAGAAGUUGAAUUAAUUGGGUUAACCCUUUAAACCAGGUUAUUCCGUAAAACCUGAGAUUUGUGUCGUGAAAGUUUGAUAACUAAAUAGAAAAUAAAAAUGACGGGUUUACCCAGAAUUAACCGGGUUAACCCAUCAAACCAAGUUAACCCGUCAAGCCUAGGAUACGUAAAUAGAAAAUUAACUUUAACAAACUAAACUAAAUGAAAAAAAUAACUCGUUAAAUCAUGUUAACUCAUCAAACCUGAGAUUCGUAUCAUGAAAAUAUAAUAACUAAAUAAAAAAAAAUUAACAUUAACAAAAUAAAUCAAACAAAAAAAAUUCAUUAAAAAAGAAUUAAAAAGAAAAAACAAAAGAAAAAAACAGUCAUAUACUAUAAUACAAUAUAAUAAUAAUUAUAAUGAAAAAACAUGGGGAAAGCUAAAUUCUCAACCAACUCAAUAUUAAAAAAAUAAAUUUAACAAAGAUAUUUUAAAAAAUAAACAUGUGGGGAAAAGACUGCAGCCAAACAAAAAUCAUGCAAGGGAAACACUGUAGUAAUCCAUAGUGUUUUUUUUUUUCUUUUUGAAAAAAACUACAAAGCUAAGUUCUCAACCAGCUUAAUAUAGAAAAAAAAAACCGAGAUCCGUGUAAUGAAAAUAUGAUAACUAAAUUAAUUUUUUUGUUCACAUUAACAAACUAAAUUAAAGAAAAAAAAUCAUUAAAAGAAAAAAAGACACAAAGAAAAAAGCAAAAAAAAAACCCAUGGGUAAAAAAAAAAAAAAGUCAAGUGUUUCACUGUGUGCACAGUGAUACAUUAUAUGUAAAAAACAGAAGAAACAAAAGCGAGGAAAAAAAAAGCUGCUACAGUGAAAAACCCACGCGUUAAAAAAAAUUGCUACAGUGAAAAAACAAUUUUUUUUUUAAAAAAGGAAAAACUGCUACAGAAAAAAAAACCAAAAACAAAAAGAAAAAUGCCACAGAAGAAAAAAUGAAAAAAAAAAAUUAGAGUUCUUAUUAAUAAAUAAAUAAAUUUAACAAAAAUAAUUUAAAAAAUAAACAUGUGGGGGAAAUACUGCAGCCAAACAAAAAUCAUGCAAGGGAAACACUAUAGUAAUCCAUAGUAUUUGUUUUUUUUUUUUUUGAAAAAAGCUACAAAGCUAAGUUCUUAACCAGCUUAAUAUAGAAAAAAAACCGAGAUCCGUGUAAUGAAAAUAUGAUAACUAAAUUAAAAAAAAAAUUUCACAUUAACAAACUAAAUUAAACAAAAAACAAUUCAUUAAAAGAAAAAAAAACACAAAGAAAAAAGCAAAAACAAAAAACCCAUGGGUAAAACGAAAAAAAAAACAAAAAAAAAAGUCAAGUGUUUCACUAUGUGCAUAGCGAUACAUUAUAUGUAAAAAACAGAAGAAACAAAAGGGAGAAAAAAAAAAAACAAAGCUGCUAUAGUGAAAAACCCAAGCGUUAAAAAAAAAACAUGUAAAAAAACAAAAACAAAAAAAGGAAAAACUGCUACAGAAAAAAAAAACCAAAAAAAAAAAUUGCAGGAAAUUUGUUUUUUUAACAAAGAUAAUUUAAAAAAUAAACAUGCGAGGGAAAGACUGCAGCCAAACAAAAAUCAUGCAAGGAAAACAAUGUAGUAAUCCAUGGUGUUUUUUUUUUUCUUUUUGAAAAAAGCUACAAAGCUAAGUUCUCAACCAACAUAAUAUAGAAAAAAAAAACCGAAAUCCAUGUAAUCAAAGUAUGAUAACUGAAUUAAAAUUUUUUUUUCACAUUAACAAACUAAAUUAAACAAAAAAGAAAGUCAAGUGUUUAACUGUGUACACAGUGAUACAUAAAACAGAAGAAACAAAAGCGAGGAAAAAAAAAAACAAAGCUGCUACAGUGAAAAAUCCACGCGUUAAAAAAAACAUGUAAAAAAAAACAAAAAAAAGGAAAAACUGCUACAGAAAAAAAAAAACCAAAAACAAAAAAAAUGCUAGAAAAAAAAAUACAGCUUUAAUUACAGUGAAAAAGCUACGCGUUUUAGUAUAUUACUUAAUUAUAAUAUAAUAAUAUAAUUAUAAUUAUUAUUAUAUAUAUAUAUAUAAGUAUAAUUAAAAGGCGUGGGGAAGCUACAGUGCUUUCCCCACACCUUUUAGAGUUCUUUAAUAGUCUAAAAAACUCAUUUUUUUAACAUUUCAAAUUCAAGAUCAAAAACCCAAUCCAAGCUCAUUUGUAUUUUUUUUUUCAAUAGUAGAUAUAAAGAUAAAUUUAUACAUAAAGGUUUUUUUUUUUUUUUUAUGUUACCAGAUAUCAAAACUUAUGCAUUAUGAGUUUUUCAUUGUCUAAAUCGAUGUCAUUUAGUUUUUUUUUAUUGCUAGAAUCUAUUGACUCCCUCUCUCUGCUCUUUCUAACUAAAAACUAAACAUGAAGAAAAUCAACUUCUAGACCAAAAUUAAAAUGUCAAAAAAGAAAGGGACUGAAAAGAAAAGGAUUGAAAAGUAUAAGGAUGAAAUCAAUUUUUCACAAAAACUUUAAAGGUGCCACCAAGUUUUGUUAUCAUUUUCACUUUGGUCCCUUAUUUUUUAAUUUUUCCCUUGCUCAACAAAUAAGAGUUAAUUGACCACAAGAAGAUUGGAUUGAGGAGGGAAAAAAACUUUGAUUACCAAAAUGGAAAAAAAAAAUCACUAUUUGACUGUGUAUAUAGCAUGUGAGAAACAAUAUUAUCCCAACCAAGUGGGAUGUGGAUCGAAUGAUUUUCUGGAUAUGGAAGGGGUUAUGGUGUAGCUGGGCCUUCAUUCUCUAGAUUUCUACUGGCUGUUAGGACAUCAAAUUUCUCCAAAUUCUGUGGCCCAUAAUUGCGUGACUGGGCAGCAACUAUUUCAAUUAUUGCCUCGUUUCCAAUUCUUUCUUGCCCGAGAACACAAUAUGCGCUCCAGCCGCAUCUUCGUAACUUCAAAUACCUGGAUUGGUUAUAGUUUCUCCUAAUGUUAUUAUUGGUUUGGUUUUUAUAUAUAUAAAUAAUAAUAAUAAUAAUAAUUAAAUUAAAAUUAUUAAAAAAAAAACCAAACUGAAACCAGUUCAAACCGACCGGUUUAGGUUUGGUUUUUUAGAACAAAAACCGGUUCAAACCGGUUUAGCUCGAUUUUUUUAUUUUUGGUUCGGUUUGGUUUUUAUAAAAAAAAUAAUCAAACUAAAAUUAUUUAUUAAAAAAACAAACCGAAACCGGUUCAAAUCAACUGGUUUCAGUUCAGUUUUUUAAAAUAAAAACUGUUCAAAUCAAUUUGACUCAAUUUUUUUUCAAUUUGGCUUGAUUGUUUUUCCAGUUUUUUUUUAUUUGGAUUCGAUUUGGUCGGCUUAUAAACCAAAACCGACCAAUUAGUUUUUUUAAAAUUCUAACUAAUUUUUUUUUAUGAAUUCGUUUUUUCAAUUAUUUUUAUUCUAAUUUUCUUAAUUUAAUUAGUUUUUUAACUGCCUUCUAAUUGAAUUGCUUUAUUUCGAUGAGAGCCACGAGAAGGAAUGAGGGAUACAUUACAGAGGGCUUGUGGGGCCACCAUGCGGGCCGGCCAGGUACCGGUAAGUUUAAUAUAGAAGAAGGAGCUGUUGCCUAGUUUAGAAGCGGCUGAUAGACAGCCCACUGUAGGUGUUAUUCAAUUACGAGGAAUUUUGAGACAGCCCACUGGUCUCAUCCAGCAAGAAAUGCUUCAAUCUACUGUCUACUUUCCUCUGAAUGUUAUUCUUCUUGUAUUUUUAUUAAGAAUUUAUUUUAUUUGAUUAAGAAUAUUUUUGAAAUUGAGGUUAUAAAAUAAUUUUAAAAAAUACAUAUUAAUAUUUAUGAUUUUUAAUUUAAAUAUUAUAGAUUUAAUUAUUGUUGUUAUAUCAUAAAAUAAAUCAUACUUUAUAUAAUUUUUUUUAUUGUUCCAUUAAAUUAUCUACAAUUCCAUUACAUACAAAAUUCAUUCGACAAGAACUACAGUUUUCAAGAUUUUUUGAGCGUGCAAUAAAAUUAGAUAAAAUAUUAUCAAGAUUCAGAAUUGAGAUUACAGUACUAAUAAAUUUAAUUCAUCUUAAAUUAAUUUUUUAAAAAAACAAAAAAAAUUAUUGUUCAUGUUCACGUAAACAGAACGAGCGAAAUCAAUUAACUGCCUUGAUUUUUCAAAAAUAAAAAACUAUUCACUAAAAUGAACAGUACAACAAUAAUGACAUGCUGCACUGUCCACUGAACAUUCAUUGGACAGUGCAACAUGGUACACCCGCAAGAAGCAACCUACUUUAUUUUUCCAUGCGUUUUAAAUGCAAAAGUUUGUGGGAUCUAUAAACAGUAACCUAUGUUAUUUUUAUAAUUAAAUGUUGUUGCAUCUGCGUUUACUUCUUAGACAAACACUGGUAAUUAAGAAAUGCUUCGAUCUACCGUCUACUUUCCUCUGAACGUUAUUCUUCUUGUACUUUUGUUCUAUAUGCCAGGAAUUUUGUGCUGGGAAUGCUUUGUUUAUCAUUUUCAGGUAGGAGGUAGGUGUGAAAAGGAAGAGGAGCCUUCUUGACUGGUGAAGAUAGUGCAAGAAGACGGGGACCAACACCAUAACUAAGCCUCCCUUUUCCUCCAGUGUUCCGGUCAAAGAUGGUGGCGUUUUCAGUAAUCAGGAGGACAGAAUUUCUGCAGAUAUUAAAGUGCAACUAUGGACUUGAGGGCAAAGAACAGUAUUUAGUGUGUGGAUUUCCCACCAACCUACAGGCUCACAAGUUUUCCCCAUGUAUGGAUCCUUCAUGCCUUGCUGCUUCAAUGUUUCAUGAUAACAGUUGAAAAUACGAUCAAUUUUUUUUUUUUUUUUUCUAAAAAAACCAAAUUACAAAAGUGAUAAAUGCCAUCCCUCCUAGCGUUGCAUCCUGCGGUCGAUCUACCUUCUGUGUUUCUUCACUAAUUUAUGUAUGAUCUGUGAGUGAAGACGAGUUAUAGCAAGCCAAUGCAUGCUUGAUUCUAUGUGCAGAUAAGAUUAUUCCCUUAAUGCUCACAGCUAGAAACUAAUUAGAGUGAGCACUGACAGCCCUUCUAGAAGGAAGAUUUUUUUUAAAAUGGAUCACUUUCAUUGAUACAUUCAACAGGUUAAUUGUGGCAGAAAAAAGUGAACUUCAAGGUCCGUUUUCUGUCCCACUGGCAGCUGGUUUUCUUUCUAUCCAUUCUCCAUUUCCCACUUCAGUAGAAUUCCAAUCCAUCGAUCACUUCAUGUGAGCAUGCCGUACUUCCUAUGGAGUAGACGAGCUAUGUUUGCGAGACUGAUUGAACAAAUAAUUUUUUUUAGGAAUAUUUUUAUUGGUAAAUUGCUAAUAGAAUUCACCGAUAGAAAUAUUUUUUAUGUAUUUAUUGAGGGAAUUAUAAUAAAAAAAAAAAUUAAAAUAAAGUAAAAAAAAAAUGACGUGUCAUUUUUACCAAUAAAAUUAUCGAUGAAAUUUAUUUUGUCGGUAUAAUCCGUCGGUAAAUUCGUUGGUAAAUUGUGAACAUUGUUUAUCAUAUCAAUUACAAAGGGAAUCACCAACAAAAAAUUUUCUCGGUAUUUUCCAGAGAGCUCUAGAACUGUUCACUUUUCAAUUGCACUGUUAAUUAAUGAUCUUUACAAACAAAAUCACUGACGGAUUAAAAAGUCAUCGAUAUUAUUUGAUGGUUUUCAGAAAAAUCUUAAUUAAAUUAAAAUUUUAAAUUAAAUAUUACAGACGGAAUCACAAACGGAUUGAAAAGUCGUUGUUGAUAUUUGGAGAUUUCUGAAAUUUUUUUAUUAAAUUAAAUUUUACAAACGGUAUCACCGACUUAAUAUUUAAUUAUCCAUCAGUAAAACACCCAAAUAAAAAAUCUAGAAUCUAUAAUUUCACAAUAAACAUAGCUCCUUUCUUCUUCUUCUUCUUCUUCAUAUGUAAAAAACAUCAAUAUUCAUUUCUUAUUCUUAUCUUCUCUCCUCAACUUGUUCUCUUUUCCUUCAUGCUAAGGUAUGUAUUCUUCUCAUUUCUUCUAUUUUCUCAGUUUUUUUUUUUAAUUAAUAUGCUUUAUAAUUUUUUUUCUCUUCUUAGCUUCACUUGCAACCACAUUAAGGUAAGAUUUUGUUUUUUUCACUAUAUUUGUUUUUUUUAUUUUUAAUUAUUUUUGUUCUUAAUAAUUGUAUGAAUAUUGUUAUAGGAUUUUUUUUCAUAUGAUUUUCUUAUUUUUUUUCCCUAGCGUUUUGAGUAUUACGUAGUAUUGAUUUAUAAUAAUUUAAUUAUUUUAUGGUUUUGUAAAAUAGAUUUUUAAAUUAACAUUUGAGCAAGAAUUAAUCACGCGUUAUUACAAGUGCAGUGACUGAAUACAAGGAUUCAGAGGAAGUUAAUUUUGUUAUUUGGCUUAAUUAAUAUCAUCCUUAACCUUUAAUUUUCGAGUGCUAUUUGUGCUUAAACUUCGUAUUGUUUAGUUAUGUGACAGAGUUAGUACGAAAAUAAAGCUAUGAAUAAAACACUAGAUUUAAUACAAAUAAUUUUCUUUCAUUGACUCCCUAGUCUCCAGGAGCCCAAGUCAAUGAGUUUAAAUGUCAUCUACGCAAAGUGUUCAUGUCCCCCCACCUCCAUAAUUAUCAAAGAUGUUAAAGACAGACGAAGAUGUAUACCACCCUUAUACACGGUAAAAAGAAUAGAAAGAUAAUUAUAUAGGUGGUGGUCAGUGGUAAAAUUUUGGAAUUAAAAAGUUUGUUCAUUAUAUGGUUUCAGGUUCGAGUCCUGUAAACUGUAGUUGCUUAUAUGAUGACUACUGAAAGCUUAUAUUGUCAUUAACUUCAAAACCUGUAAAAUUAAUCGAGGUACGCGCAAACUGAUCAAAAAAAAAAAAAGACAAAUAGGAUCCUCCCAUCGACUCUCGAGGCUCCAAUACUCAAAGCAAAUAGGACCCUCCACCAUUAUUAUCGUGGAUGUUACUUGCAAGAGGCUUGAUGAAAUGAUUUGGAAUUUGAUUUUGACAUCAUUUUAAAUUGAAGUGAUAAGAUAAUGUGUUAAUUUUAAAAUUAUUUUUUUAUACUAUUUUCAAAAAACUCAUUAUAAAUUAAGAGUUUAUUAUAAACACAUUAAAUCAAAAUCUAUAAAAACAAAUAGCUCAACUAAGAUUUUAUCAAUUUAAAUUUGAUUUGUUUGAUUAUAACAAAUGUAAAACUAUGAAUUUAGUUCAAUUCAUUUUAAAAUUUAUAUAAAAAAAUAAUUUGUUUUAAUUAUUUAAUCCAUACCAACUAAUUAAAAGAGAUAUUUAUAGCCGUUGCAGUUUAAAAUAUAUAUUUAAAAUAUUUUUUUUUAAUUUUUUAAAAAUUAUUUUUAUAUUAAUAUAUUAAUAUAAUUUUAAAAAAUAAUUUUAAAUUUUUAAAAAACACCGUGUUCCUAGAAACUGCCAGAAUUGAAACCAUACUGGCCUCAAUUUUUCUCGGUCAAAAAAAGAAUGCAUUGAAAAGUCUUCAAGUCAAGCGAAAAUCACAGCCAAAUAGAAUCAUUUACUGCAUGUUUUAAAGUACGGUACCACGCAAAAGAGAGAAACUUCAUCCAUGCAAACAAUCCACUUGACAAUGAAAAUUCCUCUUUUUACUUUGUUUUUCUUCAUGCCCCUUCUAACGAUGCUCUCCGGCAUCAACACAGGUCUGGUUUAUAUUUGGCUGUGAUUUUAUUCUUUGUUAAUGAGUUUUUUUAUAUAUAAUUAGUUAAAUUUUAUUACAAUUCAAUUUUACUAUACAAAUUUAUAUUAUAAAAAAUAUAAUUUUGAUAAUAUUGAGGGAGAUGUAUACCACCCUAAUACAUGGUAAAAAGAAUAGAAAGGCAAAUAGAAUCCUCCCAUUAACUCUCUAGGCUCCAAUAGUCAAAGCAAAUAGGACCCUCCACCAUUAUUAUCAUGUUAAGCUUGCAAGAGGCGUUCCUGGAAAGUGCCAGAAUUGAAACCAUACAAAAAAAAAAAGAAUGCAUUGAAAAGUCUUCAAGUCAAGCAAAAAUCACAUCCAAAUACAUUCAUUGACUGCAUGUUUUAAAGUACGGUACCACGCAAAAGAGAGAAACUUCAUCCAUGCAAACAUUUAAUGAAAAUUCCUCUCUUUACUUCAUCAUAGCUAAGUCUCCCUUUUUCUCAAGUUUUAUGAUCAAUGAUGUUGGUUCAAUAGCACAAAAUUUCUACAGAUUUAAAGCCUAUCGUCCACUAUUCUUUAACAAAUUUUCCACCAACCUCAUUUAAAAUGUGGACUUUCCACCAACCUCAUAAUAGUCUUUCACAAAUUUUCACCUCUGCAUUGAUCCUUCAAGUCUCUCUACUGUUUAAUAUUAGUUCAAAAACAACCUGAUCAAAUGAUAAAAAAAAUAAAAUUAUAAAGAUAAAAUUGACAUUAAAAAACCUCCCAACUCAAAACUUUAUUAAUGUUAGUUUAAAAUUAAAUUAUAUGAUAAUUACCUCAACAUGAUCCAGUCGACUUAGUUGGUCCAAAGGUAACCUUACUAACCAGUAAAUCAAAUUAAGAAUAAGAUUGGUAAAAAAAAGAGGAUGAAAUUAACAAAAAAACCUCUAGAUUCAAUUUCUUGCCUGACCUAACUUUAAAAUUAAAUUAUAUGAACUAUUAUUUUGAUAUAAUGUAGUCGACUUGAAUGGUUUAAAAACAGCUCGAAAAGCUAUAAAAAAAGUAGGAUAAAAUUGAGGAAAAAAGAACAAAAUUAAAAAAAAAGGGGAUAAAUGAAAAAGAGAGAGGCCGAAUUGAAUAAAUAAAAAAAGAAGCUUUUUGUUUAUGGACCUUCACUUUAUAUACGAGUCUAAAAAACCUUUUUUUUUAGAUUUUAAAGUCAAGACCAAAAAGCCCAAUCCAAGCUCAUUUGUAUUUUUUUUUCAAUAAUAAACAUAAGGAUAAAUUUACUAUCUUUAAGUUCAUAAAGGUUUUUUUUUUUUUUUUUACUGGAUAUCAAAACUUAUGCAUUAUGAGUUUUGAUUUUUGAAAUCUAUGAAAGUGAAAUUUACAAAAAUGUGUCCGUGAUUGGAAUUGAAUCUCAUUGAUUUAGAAUUAGAAAAAAAUAUUCGGUGUAAUAAGUUUGACUUUAAUAACUUCAAUUUACUUUACUAUUAUUAUGUAAAGGCUUACCAUAUUUUUUUUUGGGGGGGGGGGGGAAUUAAAAAGAUCUUGAGAUACACAAUAAAAGUAACAAUUCCUUCCUCGUUAUAUUGCAAAUCAUUGGUACUUGAAUUUAAUAAAAAGAAAAUUAUUGAAUAUAAAACUGUUAGACCAAACUUAUAGGGAUUAAAGUGAACUUUACAGUUUUAGGUCCAAUUGAAUUUGCUUUAUAGGGAUUAAAGUGAACUUUACAGUUUUACAUGGUAAAUGACCAUUGUGGUUGAUGCAGAUAUUUCUUGAGUUUUGUUAAUGAUUUUUUUAAAAAAUUAUUUUUUAUUUAGAAUUAAAUAUAUUAAAAUAAUUUUUUUUAUUUUUAAUUAUUUUUUUUUACAUUAAUAUAUCAAAAUAAUUCAAAAAUUUAAAAAAAUUAUUUUAAACUAAUUUAUUUUUCAAAUUUUAACAUAAAAAAAAACACAGAUUAAAUCAAAAUCCAUAAAAACAAAUAGCUCAACUAAGAUUUUAUCAAUAUAAAUUUGAUUUAUUUGAUUAUAACAAAGGUAAAAGGAUGAAUUUAGUUCAAUUCAUUUUAAAAUUUAUAUAAAAAAAUAAUUUGUUUUAAUUACUUAAUCCAUACCAACUAAUUAAAAGAGAUAUUUAUAUCGGUUGUAGUUUAAUAUAUAUUUUUUAAAAAAUAUAUAAUAUCAAAAAUAAUUUUUUUAAAAUAAAAAAAAUAAUUUUAAAUUUUUUAAAAACACCAUGUUCGUAAAAACUGCCAGAAUUGAAACCAUAAUACUCAGCCUCAAGUCUUCAAGUCAAGCUAAAAUCACAGCCAAAUAGAAUCUUUUACUGCAUGUUUUAAAGUACGGUACCACGCAAAAGAGAGAAACUUCAUCCAUGCAAACAAUCCACUUGACAAUGAAAAUUCCUCUCUUUACUUUGUUUUUCUUCAUGCCCCUUCUAACGAUGCUCUCCUGCAUCAACACAGGUCUGGUUUCUGGCCAGUGCCGGAAAGAUCAGCAAUCCUUGUUACUCCAAUUAAAGAACACUCUCGUGUAUGAUCAAUCUUCAUCUGCAACACUGGUGAAGUGGAAUUCCACAGAUUGCUGCGAGUGGCCAGGCAUAACUUGUGAUGAGGGUAGCGGUCGUGUUAUCAGCCUGGACUUGAGCUUCGAAUAAAUCACUGGUGGACUUGACGAUCCAAGCGCGCUUUUCAGUCUUCAAUUUCUUCAGAGUCUAAACUUGUCUUUCAACAGCUUCGACACAGCUCUGCCAGUCGGGUUUGCCAACCUCACGGAUUUGAUUUCACUGAAUUUGUCCAGUGCUGGCUUUACAGGCCAGAUUCCAAAUGAUUUCUCAAAGCUGACAAAGUUGGUCAGUCUUGAUUUGUCUGCCAUUUCCUUACCUGGAGGUCCUGCACUAAAACUCGAGAAGCCUAAUUUUGCGACAAUGGUUCAAAAUCUCACAAACCUAACAGAGCUCCUUCUUGAUGGUGUUAAUAUAUCAGCACACGGCAAUGACUGGUGCAAGGCCUUAUCUUCUUCACUGCCUAAGUUAAAAGUGCUGAGCAUGUCCAACUGCUAUCUUUCGGGUCCUCUUGAUGCUUCCCUUGCAAAGCUUCAGUCUCUUUCAAUAAUUCGUUUGAGCGGUAAUAAUUUGUCUGCUCCAGUUCCAGAAUUCCUUGCAAGUUACUCGAAAUUGACUGCCUUGCAGCUCAGCUCUUGCCAGUUGAACGGUAUAUUUCCACAAGCUAUAUUCCAGGUACCAACACUAGAGAUCCUUGACUUGCAAUACAACAAAUUCCUUCAGGGUUCUUUUCCGGAGUUCCAUCAGAAUCUCUCUCUUCGGACCCUCCUGCUCAGUAACACAAAUUUUUCGGGAACCUUAUCACAGUCCAUUGGUGAACUCCAGAAAUUAUCCAGAAUAGAGCUAGCGGCAGCGGGAAACAGCUUCACGGGACCAAUUCCAAAUUCAAUGGCUAAUCUCACCAAGCUGUUUUAUCUGGACUUGUCAUCCAACAACUUCACAGGCACACUCCCAUCAUUCCGCAAGUCCAAGAAUCUCACCUAUGUAGAUGUCUCUCACAAUCAACUAACAGGUGAGAUUCCAUCCAGUCACUGGGAAGGCGUUCGAAGCCUCACCUAUGUUGAUUUAGGGUACAAUGUAUUCAGCGGGAGCAUCCCCUCAUCGUUGUUUGCAAUCCCGUCGCUGCAGAGGAUACAGCUUGCCAACAACAGAUUUGGGGGACAGAUUCCUGAGUUUCCAAACGUGUCUUCCUCUCUUUUGGAUACCCUGGAUUUGAGCAGCAACAAAUUAGAAGGUCCUAUUCCCAGUUCUGUUUUUGGUCUUGCAAAACUCCAUGUCCUUGAACUUUCAUCCAAUAAGCUCAACGGCACGUUGCAAUUACAUUGGAUUCAGAAACUUCCCAAUCUCCACACACUUGGCCUCUCGUACAACAACUUGACAGUUUAUGCAAGUGGCGGCAAUUCCAACAUGUCUUCCCUUCCCCAUAUCAAGAAACUAAGAUUGGCUUCUUGCGACCUUGGAAUGUUUCCAGAUCUAAGGAACCAAUCAAAACUCUUCGAUUUAGAUCUUUCAGACAACCAAAUUACUGGGCUGGUACCUGGUUGGAUUUCAGAACUAGGUCUUCUUCAAUAUCUGAAUCUUUCACGCAAUCUCCUGGUUGAUCUAGAAAGACCUUUGUCUCUUCCUGGUCUUGGCAUCUUAGACCUGCAUCAUAACCAGCUCCAAGGGAGCAUUCCAGUUCCUCCAUCAUUUAUUACCUAUGUGGAUUACUCAAGCAAUAAUUUUUCUUCCUUCAUCCCUCCUAACAUUGGUA
rnacentral:lncRNA from 1 species